AGAUGGAGCCAACAUGAUCAAAAGAUUAAGGCCAACUAAACUACAUAGUGAGGCAUACAUAUCAAAACCCAAUUUAAAAUGUUACAUGAAGCCCAGUAUAGUGGCACAGACUUUAAUCCCAGCACUAGGGAGGCAGAGGCAAAUGGACCUCAGAGGCCACCCUAGUCUAUACAGUGAGUUCCAAGAAGUUAGCCAGAGCUACAUUGUGAGACUUUGUCUCAAAACAUUUUUGUUGUUGUUGUUUUGUUUUUUGGUUUUUCGAGACAGGGUUUCUCUUGUGUAGUCCUGGCUGUCCUGGAACUCACUCUGUAGACCAGGCUGGCCUCAAACUCAGAAAUCCACUUGCCUCUGCCUCCUGAGUGCUGGAAUUAAAGAUGUGCAUCACCACUGCUCAAACCAAUUAAAAAAUGUUACAUGAUCUUCAAAGAGUUUUGGUUUUUUGUUUUUGUUUUGUUAAAAAAUAGGAUGUUAAAAAAUAGAAUAUUAAAGGGAAAAGUUGUUUGUUUUGAGACAGGGUCUCUCUGUGUAGCUCAGACUAGCCUUAACCCUUGUCCCUCUCUCCUUAGGUUUCUGAGUGCAUGUUGGUUACAGGUAGGAGCCUCUGGGCUGUAAUUUCCCAUAGAGUAAGACUGUCUGUCUCACAAAAAGAAUAAGAAGGGCCAGGUGGCUCUCACACACAAUCCUAAUUACACAAAGGAUGACGCAAGUAAAUCCUGAGUUCAGAGCCACCCUGAACUACACAGUAAGAACCUGUCUCAAAGAAUUGGGUAGAGGAUGUGAUAAAACUUGGGAGUAGGAAGGGUUUGACUGCACUGCUGAAUAGAAGUUUAGAAUUCUAAUCAUGAUAGGUGAAGGGAAAUUAUAAGCCAGGUUUCCCCUCCCCUUGCAUGCUAGACAGGCAUUCUAUCGCUAAACUAUAGACUAGUCCCAAUGUGCCUGAGCAACAAAUAAUGAUCCUAUUAAAUUUUAGCCCAGGGAGCAUAGACAAUUGUGUAAAUUUGGGGGUUUUGUUUUCAGACAUGAUCUGAUUUUAUGGCCUCGAUUAGCCUGGAGCUUGCUAUGAAGAUAAGGCUGGCCUCCAGCACCAAGAUUUGCCUGCCUCUGCCUCCUGAGUGUUGGGAUUAAAGUUGCAGGCUGCCAUAACUGGCUGCUUUCACUCUUGUGUGUGAAUCCCAAUUAACUAUACAAAUAAUUAGGACCACAUGGUAAGAAAGGUGGAUGCUAAUAUUAGUGGAAAGAAACUUGAGCAAAAAAAUAAGAGAGGACUAUGAUUUUAACUUAUCUCCCAGAGAUGUGUGUCAGAAAUGGUCCAAUAGUGACUUUAUGGUCGACAGUGCCUGAACUAACCAAGGAUAAUUGUCAAAGGUUCAAACAGCCAAGGAACUGCCAUGAUAACAGAGGCAAGGAACAUAACCAGGAAUCCUGAACUGGACUACGGCUAAGGAAAGGGCAUGAGUGAAGAAUCCUGUGGAAUUCAAAUGGGGCCAUUGGUAAUAGUUGGCCAAUGUCCUGUUAGCAUUAGGCCAUGUCACUUUCUACUGUGUGGUAACUGUACUGUACUUCUGGAACUGUAAGCAUUGGAGAAACAUGAAAAGGUGUAUGUAAAACACAGUGGUGGAGCAUGCCUUUAACCCCAACACUUGGGAGGCAGAGGCAGGUGGAUUUCUGAGUUUGAGGCCAGCCUGGUCUACAGAGUGGAGUUUCAGGACAGCCACACAGAGAAACCCUAUCUCAAAAAACUGAAAGG
rnacentral:lncRNA from 1 species